CGCCGCGUGAGUGAUGAAGGUUUUCGGAUCGUAAAACUCUGUUGUUAGGGAAGAACAAGUACCGUUCGAAUAGGGCGGUACCUUGACGGUACCUAACCAGAAAGCCACGGCUAACUACGUGCCAGCAGCCGCGGUAAUACGUAGGUGGCAAGCGUUGUCCGGAAUUAUUGGGCGUAAAGCGCGCGCAGGCGGUUUCUUAAGUCUGAUGUGAAAGCCCCCGGCUCAACCGGGGAGGGUCAUUGGAAACUGGGGAACUUGAGUGCAGAAGAGGAGAGUGGAAUUCCACGUGUAGCGGUGAAAUGCGUAGAGAUGUGGAGGAACACCAGUGGCGAAGGCGACUCUCUGGUCUGUAACUGACGCUGAGGCGCGAAAGCGUGGGGAGCGAACAGGAUUAGAUACCCUGGUAGUCCACGCCGUAAACGAUGAGUGCUAAGUGUUAGAGGGUUUCCGCCCUUUAGUGCUGCAGCAAACGCAUUAAGCACUCCGCCUGGGGAGUACGGUCGCAAGACUGAAACUCAAAGGAAUUGACGGGGGCCCGCACAAGCGGUGGAGCAUGUGGUUUAAUUCGAAGCAACGCGAAGAACCUUACCAGGUCUUGACAUCCUCUGACAACCCUAGAGAUAGGGCUUCCCCUUCGGGGGCAGAGUGACAGGUGGUGCAUGGUUGUCGUCAGCUCGUGUCGUGAGAUGUUGGGUUAAGUCCCGCAACGAGCGCAACCCUUGAUCUUAGUUGCCAGCAUUCAGUUGGGCACUCUAA
rnacentral:rRNA from 1 species